GGCGAACGGGUGAGUAACGCGUGGGUGACCUGCCCCGAAGUCUGGGAUAACAGCUCGAAAGGGCUGCUAAUACCGGAUGUGGUCUUGGAGCUUAGAACUCCCUUUCUAAAGGCGCAAGCCGCUUCGGGAGGGACCUGCGUCCCAUCAGCUGGUUGGUGAGGUAACGGCUCACCAAGGCGACGACGGGUAGGGGGCCUGAGAGGGUGACCCCCCACACUGGCACUGAAACACGGGCCAGACACCUACGGGUGGCAGCAGUAGGGAAUAUUGCACAAUGGGCGCAAGCCUGAUGCAGCAACGCCGCGUGCGCGAUGAAGGCCUUCGGGUCGUAAAGCGCUUUUCUGGAGGACGAGGAAGGACGGUACUCCAGGAAGAAGGCUCGGCUAACUACGUGCCAGCAGCCACGGUAAAACGUAGGAGCCUAGCGUUAUCCGAAUUUACUGGGCGUAAAGCGCAUGUCGGCGGCUGGGUAAGUUGGCUGUGAAAUCUCCCGGCUCAACUGGGAGAGGCCGGUCAAGACUGCCUGGCUGGAGGCUGGUAGAGGGAGGUGGAAUUCCCGGUGUAGUGGUGAAAUGCGUAGAUAUCGGGAGGAACACCAGUGGCGAAAGCGGCCUCCUGGACCAGACCUGACGCUCAGAUGCGAAA
rnacentral:rRNA from 1 species